AAACAUUUCUCUGCCUGCACUGAAAGUCUUGGUUGUGUUCAAAGUUCCAUAUUCAAAAGCAUCCAUGGAAAUAUGAUCAUAUGGUAUGGAGCAUGGAUGAAGAAAUCUUGCGAAAACAAAGAGUUGUUAACCGGAGAGCUAGUAUCUAUGUUAUCAAACAUAUCAAGCAUGGCUAUUGAU